rnacentral:rRNA from 1 species
CCUACGGGAGGCAGCAGUGGGGGAUAUUGCACAAUGGGGGAAACCCUGAUGCAGCGACGCCGCGUGAGUGAUGAAGUAUUUCGGUAUGUAAAGCCCUAUCAGCAGAGAAGAAAAUGACAGUAUCUCACCAAGAAGCCCCGGCUAACUCCGUGCCAGCAGCCGCGGUAAUACGUAGGGGGCAAGCGUUAUCCGGAUUUACUGGGUGUAAAGGGUGCGUAGGCGGGUAUGUAAGUCAGGAGUGAAAGCCUGGAGCUUAACCACGGGACUGCUUUGGAAACUGUGUGUCUGGAGUGCGGGAGGGGCAGGCGGAAUUCGUGGUGUAGGGGUGAAAUGCGUAGAUAUCAGGAGGAAUACU